rnacentral:rRNA from 1 species
ACCUUGAGGAAUAGAAAUCAACCGAGAUUCCCUUAGUAGCGGCGAGCGAAACGGGAGUAGGGCGGUUAGUGAUAAUAUAUUAGUUAGAUGAACACUCUGGAAAGUGUGAGCAAAGAGGGUGAUACUCCCGUAAUCGAAAACUUUUAUAUGGUACUAGACUAACGAACGAGUAGGACGGGACACGUGUUAUCUUGUCUGAAUAUGGGGGGACCACCCUCCAACCCUAAAUACUACUACCAGACCGAUAGUGAACCAGUACCGUGAGGGAAAGGUGAAAAGGACCGCGGUGAGCGGAGUGAAAUAGAACCUGAAACCUAUGGCUUACAAUCAUUUGGAGCACUAUUAUAUAUAAGUGUGACAGACUGCCUUUUGCAUAAUGAGCCUGCGAGUUGUGGUAUCUGGCAAGGUUAAGCGAACGCGAAGCCGUAGCGAAAGCGAGUCUUAAUAGGGCGAAUUAGUCAGAUGCUGCAGACCCGAAACUGAGUGAUCUAUCCAUGAGCAGGUUGAAGCUGGUGUAAGAGCCAGUGGAGGACCGAACCCGUAGGCGUUGAAAAGUCUUGGGAUGACUUGUGGAUAGGGGUGAAAGGCCAAUCAAACUCAGUGAUAGCUGGUUCUCUCCGAAAUAUAUUUAGGUAUAGCCUCGAGCAUUAGCAUACAGGGGUAGAGCACUGACAGGGCUAGGGCUGCUUACCGCGGUACCAAACCCUAUCAAACUCCGAAUACUACAUGUGUAACCUCGGGAGUCAGGCGUAGGGUGAUAAAAUCCUAUGUCGAGAGGGGAACAACCCAGACUAACAGCUAAGGUCCCAAAGUUAAUGUUAAGUGGAAAACGAUGUGGAGUUACUGUGACAACCAGGAGGUUGGCUUAGAAGCAGCCAUCCUUUAAAGAAAGCGUAACAGCUCACUGGUCUAGCGAUUCUGCGCCGAAAAUAUAACGGGGCUAAGAUAAACACCGAAGCUUUAGAUGUGUAUUUAUACACGUGGUAGGAGAGCGUUCCAUUCAGCGUUGAAGGUAUACCGGUAAGGAGUACUGGAGCGGAUGGAAGUGAGCAUGCAGGCAUGAGUAGCGAGAAAAGAAGUGAGAAUCUUCUUCGCCGAAAACCCAAGGUUUCCUACGCGAUGCUCGUCAUCGUAGGGUUAGUCGGGACCUAAGUCGAGUCCGAAAGGGGUAGACGAUGGCAAAUAGGUUAAUAUUCCUAUACCGACAUAUCAUCAUUUGAGUGAUGGGGGGACGCAUAGAGUUAAACGAGGUCACUGAUGGAAUAGUGGCUCGAAGGGUGUAGGUUGUGAGGUAGGCAAAUCCGCUUCACAUUCGACCGAGACCUGACAGGCUAAACAAUCUCUUCGGAGAGCGUUUAGAAUCGUUGAUACUGUCGUGCCGAGAAAAGCCUCUAAACGAGAUGGUAUGUUGCCCGUACCGUAAACCGACACAGGUGGGUGAGAUGAGUAUUCUAAGGCGCGUGGAAGAACCCUGGUUAAGGAACUCUGCAAACUAGCACCGUAUCUUCGGUAUAAGGUGUGCCUACUUUUGUAUAAGAACUUGCUUCUGAAAGCUAAAGAGGUUGCAACAAAGAGUCCCUCCCGACUGUUUACCAAAAACACAGCACUUUGCUAACACGUAAGUGGAUGUAUAAGGUGUGACGCCUGCCCGGUGCUCGAAGGUUAAUUGAUGAUGUUAGCUCUGCGAAGCAUUUGAUCGAAGCCCGAGUAAACGGCGGCCGUAACUAUAACGGUCCUAAGGUAGCGAAAUUCCUUGUCGGUUAAAUACCGACCUGCAUGAAUGGCGUAACGAGAUGGGAGCUGUCUCAACCAGGGAUCCAGUGAAAUUGUAGUGGAGGUGAAAAUUCCUCCUACCCGCGGAAAGACGGAAAGACCCCGUGCACCUUUACUACAGCUUGACACUGUAGCUUGGAUAUUCAUGUGCAGGAUAGGUGGGAGACUAUGAUUACUAGACGCCAGUAGAGUAGGAGUCACCCUUGAGAUACCACCCUUGAAUAUUUGAGUUACUAACUCCGUACAGUUAUCCUGUGCGAGGACAAUGUCUGGUGGGUAGUUUGACUGGGGCGGUCGCCUCCUAAAAAGUAACGGAGGCUUACAAAGGUUGGUUCAGGUGGGUUGGAAAUCCACCGUAGAGUAUAAUGGCAUAAGCCAGCCUGACUGUGAGACAUACAAGUCGAGCAGAGACGAAAGUCGGUCAUAGUGAUCCGGUGGUUCUGUGUGGAAGGGCCAUCGCUCAAAGGAUAAAAGGUACGCCGGGGAUAACAGGCUGAUCUCCCCCAAGAGCUCACAUCGACGGGGAGGUUUGGCACCUCGAUGUCGGCUCAUCGCAUCCUGGGGCUGGAGCAGGUCCCAAGGGUAUGGCUGUUCGCCAUUUAAAGCGGUACGCGAGCUGGGUUCAGAACGUCGUGAGACAGUUCGGUCCCUAUCUUCCGUGGGCGUAGGAAAGUUGAGGAGAUUUGUCCCUAGUACGAGAGGACCGGGAUGAACGUACCACUGGUGUACCAAUUGUUCUGCCAAGAGCAUCGUUGGGUAGCUAAGUACGGAUGUGAUAAGAGCUGAAAGCAUCUAAGCUCGAAGCCAACUCCAAGAUGAGCUUUCCCUUAAGAUCCCAGUAAGACUAACUGGUUGAUAGGCUAGAUGUGUAAGCGUAGAAAUACGUUCAGCUGACUAGUACUAAUAGAUCGAUUGGCUUAUUU